CGGUGAUAUACUAUCUCCGCCGGUUCUAAAUGAACCCGACGGUGAUGACCACUCAUCACCGCCGGUUCGUGUUCUAAACCGGCGGUGAUAGGUUUUCAAGUAUCACCGCCGGGUCGUAACACGAGCCGGCGGUGAUGCCUACACAACACCACCGGAUUAUAAGAUAAGCCGACAGUGAUAGCUAAUUUUUCCUUAUCUAGUCCCCUCCCUCUCCCUCGUCCAUUCUGUGUCUCUCUCCCUCUCCCCGUGUCUCCCUCAUCCAUCUCUCUCUCCCUCCUCCCUCCUCCCUCCCCUCCCCGCCUCUUCCCUGUUCCUCAACGGGCCCUCCUCUCCUCCUGUGCCGCCGUCGGACGGAGCACCUCCCCUCCCUGCCUCUUCUGCCGUGCCACGCGGCGGGGAUGCGGACGCGCUGCGCGAAGGAGCGGUGGCAAGGAGCAGUGCUGCGCUGCGCGGAGCAGCGCCGCGACGGCGGGGAGCAGAAGCCGGCUGCGCGCAGCGCGCCGUGGAGCAGGGCAGCAGCGGCCGGCCGCGCGGCGGCGUGGCGUGGCGCGUCGCAGAGCAGCGCAGUGGUGGCGGGGAGCAGUGGCCGGCCGCGCGCGGCACUCAGCGCAGCGGCGGCUGGGAGCAGCCACGGACUAUGCAAUUCUGCUGCUCCUCACAUUAUCAACCGGCCUGCAAGAUGUUCGGCAGAAUGCCGCACAAGAUUCUUGGUGCAAAGGUUCAGGUAGAAAUGGGUCACUUACUGAUAGUAGGAGCAGGAGCAGCACAAGGUGGCAACUGAUCAGCUCCUCAAAGGCCAAAGUGUCACUGGUGCAGCUUUUUUUUGUGCCUUUUUCUGAAUAAUUCAAAUCAUCAGGCAAUGUGGGAUACUGAGAGCUAUGUUGGUAGAUUGUGUACUCUUCAAAUUAUGUCAUUCUAUUUCUAAAUAUAGAGACUGAAUGCCACUCAAAUUUAAAGCGCAUUGCACCAAUUGCCAAGAGAAAGGCAUAAGGUAUUUGAGUCGAGAAACGCACUAUCAUAAAUCAUUGUUUCUACCUGGUUGUAAUGUUUUAUUGUGAAACUAAGAUUUUCUGUGUCCACUUUACAUGUACAUUUGUAUCUAAAUCA